AAAAAAAAAAAAAAAAAAAAAAAAACCUAGGGCCAGGAUUGGAAGACAAAAUUACAAAACCGAAAUCUCGUUCUCAACAUACCGCGACAAUACAUAGGUGCACCUUAAACGAAUCGAUAACAACGUAUAUUGUCGUCCUAUAUACGAAAAAAAAAAAAAAAAAAAAAAAAAAAAAAAAAAAAAAAAAAAAAGAAAAAAGUAAAAUAAAAUAGUCCGUUACGUAUUGUUAUAUUAUAUUUUGUUCGGCGUUUACAAAUAAAACCAUUGUGUAAUUUCGAUAUUUAUUAUUAAUUAUAUAGUUGAGACGUACCUAUAUAGCUUAUUAUUAUUGUAUUGGUUAUUAUUUAUAAGUUAGACAAUUGUUUGUUGUUGUUUU